ACAUGUGCCAUCUCUUUAAUCAAUCACCAAGCUGCUCCAUCCCUGGCUCCUGUCACUGAGGGGCACAGUGAGAGAGCAGUUUGAGGGCUGCCAAUCCCAGGGGAUACAGGGUGCCAAUGCUCAUUAUUCACUUUCCCAUCAAGGCCCUGAUGACCUUGUAUGGAGAAACAGAAGGACUCUAAUGCCUCUUCAACCACAGAAUAACUCUCUCUCAUGAGAGGUUUGCAGGUGUGCGUUUAUUUCGGCAUGGGGUUGAUUGGAUGGCUUUUGUAGUACAAAAUAUGAAUGUGACUCUGUCCUGAACUUCAUGCCUUUUUCAGUUUGAUUGUCUACACGGAGAUCAGGGUGAUGAGUUUCAGUAAACAUAUAGACCUCCCCCUCCUCACUCCUCUGCUAGAAAAGGUCAGAACUGGGUUGCUUUGGAUGAACCAAUCUCAGUCAACAAACAAGGCAGCCAUUUGUUCACUCACAUCUACCCAAGGUAACUCACACAUGCACUUUGAGAUCCUUCAAGUGUCUGCCACCAACGAUAGCUAGUGUCUGUGCCC
rnacentral:lncRNA from 1 species